AGUGGGUGUAACGUACCCACUAGCCUACGACGGGUACGGGUUGUGAGAGCAAGAGCCCGGAGAUGGAUUCUGAGACAUGAAUCCAGGCCCUACGGGGUGCAGCAGGCGCGAAAACUUUACAAUGCGGGCAACCGCGAUAAGGGGACCUCGAGUGCUGGGUUACAAACCUGGCUGUUGGGCUGCCUAAAAAGCAGUCUAUAGCAAGGGCCGGGCAAGACCGGUGCCAGCCGCCGCGGUAACACCGGCGGCUCGAGUGGUAACCGCUGUUAUUGGGUCUAAAGGGUCUGUAGCCUGCCGGCUAAGUCUCUUGGGAAAUCUGGCAUCUCAAGUGUCAGGCUGCCAGGGGAUACUGGUCAGCUUGGGACCGGGAGAGGUGAGAGGUACCUCAGGGGUAGGGGUGAAAUCUUGUAAUCCUUGAGGGACCACCAGUGGCGAAGGCGUCUCGCCAGAACGGAUCCGACGGCAAGGGACGAAAGCUAGGGGCACGAACCGGAUUAGAU
rnacentral:rRNA from 1 species